rnacentral:lncRNA from 1 species
ACCAACCCAUCCACCCAGCCAUCCAUCCACCCAUCCAUGCAUCCACCUGUCUAUGCAUCCACCCACCCAUCCAUUCACCCACCCAUCCCCUCACCCACUCAUCCAUACAUCCAUCCAUCCAUCCAUCCACCCACCCACCCACCCAUCCAUCCACCCACCCCUCCCAUCCAUGCAUGUCUCCUAUCAGUUCUGUUCCUGGAGAACCCUGACUAAUGUAGUGGUCACUCCCAUCUGUUUCUGUUGGACUCUGUCCCCAUCAUAAGUGAGCCCUCCCCACAACAAGCACUCUUGAUUUAACCUUUGCCAGUCCCAGUUAAAUGUUUAUAAAAUUCAAGCCGUUCACUGGCUGUUCUUCCAGGUGAGGCAGUGUUGCCAAAGGCACCGUCUUGCCUCUUUGUAGCAAGCUAGAUCUGCCCAGGGCACCUGGCCUCCAUCUCGCACCCCACCUGGUUCCCCCAUCAAGGCUUGGUGGCUCUGGGUGCAUGGAGAGUUUUACUAUGAAAUAGCUCUAGCAGUGCCAUUGACUCAGAAGGCACUUGGCAAACAGACUCACCAUUUCUAUUAAAAGAGACAUGGAGUCUUAAAAAAUAUUAAAAUGACUAAAAUCAACAAA